GGGUUAUUAGCUCAGAUGGCGAGAGCAUCUGCCUUACAAGCAGAGGGUCGUAGGUUCGAGUCCUACAUAACCCACCA
rnacentral:tRNA from 1 species